GAGGCAGCAGUGGGGAAUCUUGCGCAAUGGGCGAAAGCCUGACGCAGCCAUGCCGCGUGAAUGAUGAAGGUCUUAGGAUUGUAAAAUUCUUUCACCGGGGACGAUAAUGACGGUACCCGGAGAAGAAGCCCCGGCUAACUUCGUGCCAGCAGCCGCGGUAAUACGAAGGGGGCUAGCGUUGCUCGGAAUUACUGGGCGUAAAGGGAGCGUAGGCGGACUGUUAAGUUAGAGGUGAAAGCCCAGGGCUCAACCUUGGAAUUGCCUUUGAUACUGGCAGUCUUGAGUACGGAAGAGGUAUGUGGAACUCCGAGUGUAGAGGUGAAAUUCGUAGAUAUUCGGAAGAACACCAGUGGCGAAGGCGACAUACUGGUCCGUUACUGACGCUGAGGCUCGAAAGCGUGGGGAGCAAACAGGAUUAGAUACCCUGGUAGUCCACGCCGUAAACGAUGAGUGCUAGUUGUCGGCAUGCAUGCAUGUCGGUGACGCAGCUAACGCAUUAAGCACUCCGCCUGGGGA
rnacentral:rRNA from 1 species